GUGUCAUCUGACAAAUGUAGACUUUGUUUAGGUUUGUGAAUCAUUUGGGAACCAAUCCUGUUUUCUGUGAUCUUAUUUGGUAUUGCACCUACAACCCCAACCAAGACUAUGACCCUUGUACUAGUUGCUGUAUAAUCAUAUAGUAGAAGACCCCACCCUGAAGAGUUUACAGUCUAAACAGAGGAAACAGACAAGUACAGCCGCAACACCAGGAACAAAGAAACAGCUUUGGACUGAGGAAGAGAUCCAGUAAAGAAUUCAGCAAGUAAGACUGCUGAAGUAUAUGGUGAGGGAG